CAAGCUAUCAAGCAUUAUGCUCCGUGCUGCAUACGACUGCCCGCCCCAGGGGGCUCUGCGCAGUCUGGAAGGGGAAGCGUAUCGCGACAUAGUAUCUCCCAUGCCCCAAACUGGGGCCAGGUGAAGCGGAGAGUUAUAGAAGCCUAACUGAAAGGAGCUGUUCCGAAGCUCCAGGAUCAUGCGUUGUGAACGUAUGAGUUGCUGUGGCGUCGCAUUAUUCAAUUCCAGGGAAUGAUUUCACUCUAAAACGCAUUGCGACCUCUUCAGACGCCCGCCAUGAAAGAGAUUCUGGGUUCGAACGGGAGAUAAUUAUCCGCUGUCGAUCACCAGUAUGGAUAUCCCAGCUCCCACACGCCAACUGAAGUUCGUUGUAAAUAUAUAUAUUGAAAUGCAGGUGCGAAUCUGGCUACUAGGUAUCUAAAUCAAGAUAUCCCCAGCCAACAACCAAGUCGUUUCAAGAAAAGAAAUAAACAAAAAUAACAUCUGCAAAGAGCAAACUGUCAACUCUCAAAAUUCGGAUGGCUUCCACUCCAUGUCUCGCUGCGACUUAAUCUCAAACGAGACUCGAAUUGUUUUAUCUGAGCUGCCAGAGAACAUGUCCAAAAACCAUCUUGUCCUGCAGUUCUGGCCAGUUUGAUACACGUUCAACUCGCCCAUCCUGAUUUUGUUUCGAGCCAAAAGUCCAAAUACGCCGGCUUGAAAGGUUUGAUCGGCUUGAAGGGAAUGUCCCAGGGUCAUUCCCCCCCGGAAAUCACACCGAAACCUCGCAGCCUGCUUCGGGGCGAGAUCACAUACUCUUGCCGCAAAAACUAAGAUGCCAAUAUCCUUCAUGAACUGGGCUACUGGGAUCAGAGAACUCGAUAUUUUAAUCAUCUGCACCGGAACCGCAAGCAAAUUGCAGA
rnacentral:sRNA from 1 species